GAUGAACGCUAGCGGAAGGCUUAAUACAUGCAAGUCGAACGGUAACAGGUCUUCGGAUGCUGACGAGUGGCGCACGGGUGAGUAACGCGUACGCAACCUACCCUACAGAGGGGGAUAGCCCUGGGAAACUGGGAGUAAUCCGCCAUGGUUUCAUUGUUUUGCAUAAGACGAUGAAUAAAGCUGAGGCGCUGUAGGAUGGGCGUGCGUCUGAUUAGGUAGUUGGUGAGGUAACGGCUCACCAAGCCGAUGAUCAGUAGGGGGCGUGAGAGCGUGGUCCCCCACACGGGUACUGAGACACGGACCCGACUCCUACGGGAGGCAGCAGUAAGGAAUAUUGGUCAAUGGGCGAAAGCCUGAACCAGCCAUUCCGCGUGCAGGAUGACUGCCCUAUGGGUUGUAAACUGCUUUUAACUGGGAAGAAACCCCUGAACUUGUUCGGGGCUGACGGUACCAGAGGAAUAAGCACCGGCUAACUCCGUG
rnacentral:rRNA from 1 species